rnacentral:rRNA from 1 species
CCAGGUCUUGACAUCCCUUAGGACAACUCCAGAGAUGGAGCGUUCCCUUCGGGGACAAGGUGACAGGUGGUGCAUGGUUGUCGUCAGCUCGUGUCGUGAGAUGUUGGGUUAAGUCCCGNAACGAGCGCAACCCUUAUUACUAGUUGCCAGCAUUUAGUUGGGCACUCUAGUGAGACUGCCGGUGACAAACCGGAGGAAGGUGGGGAUGACGUCAAAUCAUCAUGCCCCUUAUGACCUGGGCUACACACGUGCUACAAUGGCGUAUACAACGAGUUGCCAACCCGCGAGGGUGAGCUAAUCUCUUAAAGUACGUCUCAGUUCGGAUUGUAGGCUGCAACUCGCCUACAUGAAGUCGGAAUCGCUAGUAAUCGCGGAUCAGCACGCCGCGGUGAAUACGUUCCCGGGUCUUGUACACACCGCCCGUCACACCAUGAGAGUUUGUAACACCCAAAGCCGGUGGGGUAACCUUUUAGGAGCCAGCCGUCUAAGGUGGGACAGAUGAUUAGGGUGAAGUCGUAACAAGGUAGGCGUAGCGAG